AGUGAACGCUGGCGGUAGGCCUAACACAUGUAAGUCGAACGAGUGGCGGACGGGUGAGGAAUACAUCGGAAUCUACUCUGUCGUGGGGGCUAACGUCGGGAAACUUACGCUAAUACCGCAUACGAUUGACUGAGCCGAUGGCGGAUUAGCUAGGUGGCGGGGUAACGGCCCACCAAGGCGACGAUCCGUAGCUGGUCUGAGAGGAUGAUCAGUCACACUGGGACUGAGACACGGUCCAGACUCCUAAGGGAGGCAGCGGGGGGGAAGAUUUGACAAUGGGCGCAAGCCUGAUCCAGCCAUGCCGCGUGGGUGAAGAAGGCCUUCGGGUUGUAAAGGCCUGUUGUUGGUAAAGCGGUACCCAAAGAAUAAGCACCGGCUAACUUCGUGCCAGCAGCCGCGGUAAUAC
rnacentral:rRNA from 1 species